CGUGGGCGAAGGUGCCCCCGCAAGCUGCAGAAGCUCGUGACUUCGCGAAUCCCGGGUCGGGGCGGUGCCGGAGCCCCACCCCCGGCUGUGAUACUGUGCAGCCAGACGUAGCGGCCGGGACUGGGGAGGGGUGAGGGACGGGGGAUGGGUCCCCGCGGACCUUCCAGAUUGGAAGUGUGGCUGGUCCCUCAGGAACCCAUAUUUUCUUUUCGGAUUCUCCGCGAAGGGGAGGAGAAACAGGAUGGGGACCGGAUUGGUUGCGGUGUGACACAGAACUGGAACCUUCCUGAAAGUGGUUGGGGCAGGCAGUGACUGUUCAGCCGUCCAAUUUAUUUGGGACACCUCUUCAGCGCUGUCUUCCCUGCCUCUGCCUUUAGGACGAGUCUCAAACACCAACACUCCCAAGGCACGUACCCCUUCUCAGGUCUGCUGCGAAGGAAGGGACGAGAGGAAGAGCGAGCCUUUCCCUCUGUCUACUUCUAGUUUUUGUUUGUUUGUUUCAAAUAUUAAUGGACGACCGAAGAGCUAGCAACCACCUGCAGACUGCCUCAAGCAUACCCCGGCACUCCUGAGGACAACCGGAUGUGGUAGGAGUUGAGAAUCCCAAGAUGGAGCUGGAAAAAAAGAUCCACUGUUGAAGAUGCGGCCACGUCUUGAGCCCUCUCACUCUUGCGGGCAGCAGACCACGCAGCUCUGCAACUCCCCUUUCCCUCCUGCGUGAAGCCAGGGCACGCCCGGUGGUGGCGCUUCAAAGGUGGGCGGAGAAAAUGCUGUGAGCAAGACCGUACCUGACGCCCAGAAGGUUCUACUAGGCUUGGCAAGAACCUCCUGGAACACUAAUACCUGGUUUCCUCUCUGCUUGGUGUUGGUCGUUCAUGGGCUACAAAGACUGAAUUCCUACGUCGAAAUUGCGGGAAGGAGAAAAUAAAAUUAGAAACCUGAGACGUAAUCCCUCGUGGUGCUCCCAAACCAGCUCUAUAAGCCCCAGACACCACUGGGUUCUUGCCCACAAGAGCAGCUCUGAGCCCUGGAGUUGCUGAGAGCUAUGCUCAAGGGAGGCAGGCACACCCUCAAGCUUUCCUUUCUAGAGUCUCGCCUUUUCCCAGUAUUCGGAUGCCUAGCGAGGGGUACACUUUGCUACUCUGUUCCCUAACCCUAUUUCCAUCACACCACUUCGGAUCCCACAAUUACUCUAGGGUAUCUACACUCACAGCUUUUGCUCUCAGGAAAGGUUUUUGACCAGGAAAAAGAGAGGUACCCUUCUCAGAAACUCCCAGAGCCAGAGUGAGUCCAUUUUAAGGAUGAGUUGAGUAGAAAAAGCAAACACAGAUGCUAUCUUUGCACGUAACAUUCUAUCACUAACAAGAAAAGAUGUAACUACUGUUCUUUCCUCCAUUGUACCAUGAAUUACCCUUUCUCUGGGGAGCCAGCAGUUGGUGAUUAAGGGCUUUUAAGUAUUGCUCUUGUUAUGUAUUUAACAAAAUGCAGUAUGUCUAUUGGUGGCAUUGUUUAAUUGGAAAAUUAGGGAAGUAGGAGAAGCUCCGUAAUCUAGUAACAAGGUGGUCUUUGGGAAGUUGACUUAAGUGCUUGGUUGGCUGAGUAAGUAUAUAAGGUUUGAAAAACAGAAAGGGAGCUGAGGCCUGGUGAUAAGAGUUUGUGAGAAAUGAAAAAAAUGUAAUACUUGUGUGGUUUUUGAGAAGGGGGAAGAACUUUUGAAAAAUAAGCUAUCUCAGUUUUUUUGCCACUGAUACUUCAGCUUAUGAUUGCAAGUGCUUCAUAAUGAAUAAUAUUUUCUAGAGUGGAAUAAUUGUAAAUCCUGGUGAUGAAAUCUAAAGAAAAUCUCUACUCAGUUGUGAUCAACAAGAAGUACUUUUAUUUUCUUGGUUCAAGUGGUUUAAAUACUCAGUUCAUUGCUUUCCUUCCUGAGCAGAAUUCUUUUCUUAUAAAAGUUUCCAUUAGGUGUCAGUCUGACUGAACUAGUUUCUAUCUAAAUUUGAAAAGAAAAAAAGAAUGUGUUUGGGGGUGGGGAAGGUAGUGUAGUUUACCAGGGUGAUUCUUUUUACAUAUGAAGGAAAAAAAACCUAAAAGUUUAUUAAAUAGAAAUUGCUAUACUUGGUUAUUAUUAUUUUUAUAAAGCAACUUUUCCCCCUCAGAAAUCUGAAUUUUAAAUUAAAUGACCAAUGGCCAGUUAUUACUUUGCCCUGUCAGUGUCUAUUGACAAGAAUAAAGAAGUGUAAAAUGAUUGUGAUUUUCAUGCUAGAAUUAAGUGCUACUAAGGAAUCCUAAUAGUUGGGUUGUUUUUCAAUUAAUUUCCAAAUAAUAGAAGAGUUUUCAUCCUUUUUCUAAAUUUGUUUUGCUUUACACAGGUGAUACAAUUUCUACCUGAGAAUAGUCUAAGGGUACAGCUAGAGUAUCCCCUUGAGAGUAAACUAAGGCUCAGGGAGAAAACUUAUGAAAACUGUUUUUGCCUACUAUUUUUGCCUUCAUCAAGCUUACUUAAAUACUAUAUUUUUAUGAAUAUGACUUAUGGUUUAUAGGUGAAACAUUUCAGUUUCUAUUAGGAAUUUAGUUCUGUGAACUUUUAAAUUUAUGCCAUAAUAUUCAUUAAUAGGUGUAAGAGAUACCUUGGUUGAUGGCUUACUACUGAGUCUCUGAGGUAAGGCGUUUGAUGUAAGUUAUGUUUUGGAAGAGCUUAUUGAUUUUAUCUUUGUGUUUGUGCAUAUUUUUGCUUUUUGUUAUGAUAUUUUUAUUUGAAUAGAAUUGCAGGGAAUGAUGGUAUUCAAGGUUAAAGAUCCACUGAGGAUUAUGACAACUUCUCUGUGAAUUCAGAGAAGAAAUAUAUUGGACUGAUUACUGUGAACAAGUAUACACUUCUUAAUAAAUAAUCUUAUUAUGGAUCUUUCCCCAAAUCUACUGUUAUCUGAACAUGAUGUAGUUCUUGAUGUCACAGUAGUGCCUAUCUAGAACCAGACAGAAGUGUCAGUCCAUAUCCAGGCAAAGGAGAACAAUGAUGAAAUAACAUGUUAAUAGAUAGAAAUGCCAUAACAUAUAUUUCUCUAGUUACAUUCCACAUCAGUAAUGGCAAAUUUUCCAGUAUAAAAAUAGACAAUUUGUAUAGGUGGAAAUUAUAGUUUUAUUGGGAGUAUCUUGUGCUUUUAUGUAAGACAGAGAAGGACCAAGGUCAUAGAAAAUAGUAUAAGACUCUUGCAAGUAUUCACCAACUUUUCAAUACUGUGCAGUUUCAGCUAUCACUGUGUCAUAGAAAUCGCAAAGUGAUGUUCUUACAAUGUUAGAGCCAUCUGCAUAUGAAACUUACUAGACCAAAGUAAAGGCUAAAUAGACUUUAAGCAAAUAGUACAAUUUAUUUUAAGGUGUUUUGAGAUUUUCUUCCCCUUGACACAGGUUAUCAUCAUGACUUACAACUCUCAAAUUCUGAUCUAUAAAAUAUUUUGCUUGAGUGUAGAUUACAAGCUUUUUAAUGAGAAGAUGUAGUUCAUCCAAAAACAAGCUAGGAAAGAAAUAGGAAAUUUUGUUUCUUGAAAUGUGGUUAAUACCUGGUGAUUAGCUGGGUUUGUUGAAAGCAGUGUAGCAAUAGAAUCAGUAUGUAUCUGGUAUGUGACUAUUUAAAUCUCUUUUACUUCUGAGUGUUUUUAUGUCCUAGUUAAUAAUAAUAAGAGCUAUGUAAGACAAUCUGAUUUCCAAAAUCAGUGAAAACUAUUAUUUUAUCUAUAAAAUUGUGAAAACAUGUCAUUUGCUGUUUGUGAAAAUACCCUUUG